CCUACGGGAGGCAGCAGUAGGGAAUAUUGCUCAAUGGGGGAAACCCUGAAGCAGCAACGCCGCGUGGGGGAUGAAGGUUUUCGGAUCGUAAACUCCUUUUGUUAGAGAAGAUAAUGACGGUAUCUAACGAAUAAGCAUCGGCUAACUCCGUGCCAGCAGCCGCGGUAAUACGGAGGGUGCAAGCGUUACUCGGAAUCACUGGGCGUAAAGAGCGCGUAGGCGGGAUAGCAAGUCAGAUGUGAAAUCCUAUGGCUUAACCAUAGAACUGCAUUUGAAACUGUUAUUCUAGAGUAUGGGAGAGGUAGGUGGAAUUCUUGGUGUAGGGGUAAAAUCCGUAGAGAUCAAGAGGAAUACUCAUUGCGAAGGCGACCUGCUAGAUCAUAACUGACGCUGAUGCGCGAAAGCGUGGGGAGCAAACAGGAUUAGAUACCCCUGUAGUC
rnacentral:rRNA from 1 species